CACCCAAAYUGGGCGGUAAAUUCCAUCCAAGGCUAAAUAUUGGCGAGAGRCCKAUAGCAAACAAGUUYCGCGAGAGAAAGAUGAAAAGGACUUUGAGAAAUGAGUCAAAGAGUCACURGAAUUUUCGKAGAGAGAAGCGUGAUUGGGGCUCGA
rnacentral:rRNA from 1 species